UUAAUAAAUAUAUAAUAUAGUGGGAAAUUUGAAGGAGCAACUUCUUUACUUUAAUAGUUGAUAAGAAAUGCUAUGUGAACACCCAGUUUCUGCCUGUGCCCAGAGCUGACCUGGUUCCAGAGCUCUCUAUACUCAGAACCUUUGGGGAGUUAGCAGGACUCUCAGAAGUACAGACCAUCCUGAGAGCACAGGGGAGACCACUUCUGCUCACAUUCCUGGCCCAAGUGGAACCCUUAGGGAGCCCUCUGGACACAGGAACUGAGGAACAGUCUGGGAUGGGAUCUUUUCAGUUUUACAUGAAUUGGACCAGAUUGGACCAGAAAAUAAUAUUCAAAACACAAAAUGCACAAAACAAAGAAAGAAUAUUAAAAGAAUUAAGGAGAAAAUGUUAAGUAACUUAUAGAGACAGACCUAUCAGAAUUAUACCAGAGAUUAUGACAGCCAGAAGAUCCUGGGAAGAUCCCAUACAGACCCCAAGAGAACACAAAUUCCAGUGCAUGCUACUAGAUACAGCAAAAUUCUCAGUUAACAUAAAUGGAAAAACCAAGAUAUUCCAUGACAAAACCAAAUAUACACAAUAUCUUUCAAAAAACCCAGCCCUGCACAUGAUUAUAAAUGGCAAACGCCAAUAUAAGGAGAGAAACUAUACACUAGAAAAAGCAAAACAGUAAUCUUCUUGCAACAAACCUAAAAGAAGAGAGCCACACAAACAUAAU
rnacentral:lncRNA from 1 species